GGGCGCGCCUAACACAUGCAAGUCGAACGAGCGAGAGAGAGCUUGCUUUCUCGAGCGAGUGGCGAACGGGUGAGUAACGCGUGAGGAACCUGCCUCAAAGAGGGGGACAACAGUUGGAAACGACUGCUAAUACCGCAUAAGCCUACGGUGCCGCAUGGCACAGAGGGAAAAGGAGCAAUCCGCUUUGAGAUGGCCUCGCGUCCGAUUAGCUAGUUGGUGAGGUAACGGCCCACCAAGGCGACGAUCGGUAGCCGGACUGAGAGGUUGAACGGCCACAUUGGGACUGAGACACGGCCCAGACUCCUACGGGAGGCAGCAGUGGGGAAUAUUGCACAAUGGGGGAAACCCUGAUGCAGCGACGCCGCGUGGAGGAAGAAGGUCUUCGGAUUGUAAACUCCUGUUGUUGGGGAAGAUAAUGACGGUACCCAACAAGGAAGUGACGGCUAACUACGUGCCAGCAGCCGCGGUAAAACGUAGGUCACAAGCGUUGUCCGGAAUUACUGGGUGUAAAGGGAGCGCAGGCGGGAAGACAAGUUGGAAGUGAAAUCUAUGGGCUCAACCCAUAAACUGCUUUCAAAACUGUUUUUCUUGAGUAGUGCAGAGGUAGGCGGAAUUCCCGGUGUAGCGGUGGAAUGCGUAGAUAUCGGGAGGAACACCAGUGGCGAAGGCGGCCUACUGGGCACCAACUGACGCUGAGGCUCGAAAGUGUGGGUAGCAAACAAGAUUUGAUUCCCCCCCAGUCCACACCGUAAACGAUGAUUAGUAGGUGUUGGAGGAUUGACCCCUUCAGUGCCGCAGUUAACACAAUAAGUAAUCCACCUGGGGAGUACGACCGCAAGGUUGAAACUCAAAGGAAUUGACGGGGGCCCGCACAAGCAGUGGAGUAUGUGGUUUAAUUCGACGCAACGCGAAGAACCUUACCAAGUCUUGACAUCCCUUGACAGGCAUAGAAAUAUGUUUUCUCUUCGGAGCAAGGAGACAGGUGGUGCAUGGUUGUCGUCAGCUCGUGUCGUGAGAUGUUGGGUUAAGUCCCGCAACGAGCGCAACCCUUAUGGUCAGUUACUACGCAAGAGGACUCUGGCCAGACUGCCGUUGACAAAACGGAGGAAGGUGGGGAUGACGUCAAAUCAUCAUGCCCUUUAUGACUUGGGCUACACACGUACUACAAUGGCGUUAAACAAAGAGAAGCAAGACCGCGAGGUGGAGCAAAACUCAGAAACAACGUCCCAGUUCGGACUGCAGGCUGCAACUCGCCUGCACGAAGUCGGAAUUGCUAGUAAUCGUGGAUCAGCAUGCCACGGUGAAUACGUUCCCGGGCCUUGCACU
rnacentral:rRNA from 1 species